AGAGUUUGAUCCUGGCUCAGGACGAACGCUGGCGGUGCGCCUUAUGCAUGCAAGUCGAGCGAAGCUUUUCAGUAGUUUACUACAGAAAAUGACUGAGCGGCGAACGGGUGAGUAACGCGUGAGCAACCUACCUUAGUUACUGGGAUAGCCCGAGGAAACUCGGAUUAAUACCGGAUAUUCUUAUUUAAUCACAUGAUUUUUUAAGGAAAGGUCAGCCGAACUAAGAUGGGCUCGCGUUCUAUCAGCUAGUUGGUAGGGUAAUGGCCUACCAAGGCUACGACGGAUAGCUGGUCUGAGAGGACGAUCAGCCACACUGGGACUGAGACACGGCCCAGACUCCUACGGGAGGCUGCAGCAGGGAAUAUUGCGCAAUGAGCGAAAGCUUGACGCAGCGACACCGCGUGUGGGAUGACGGAUCUAGGUUUGUAAACCACUUUCAGGAGGGAAGAAAAUGACGGUACCUCCACAAGAAGCCCCGGCCAACUACGUGCCAGCAGCCGCGGUAAUACGUAGGGGGCGAGCGUUGUCCGGAUUUAUUGGGCGUAAAGAGCUCGUAGGCGGUUCAACAAGUCGGUCGUGAAAGUUCAGGGCUCAACCCUGAAAUGUCGAUCGAUACUGUUGUGACUAGGAUACGGUAGAGGUGAGUGGAAUUCCGAGUGUAGCGGUGAAAUGCGUAGAUAUUCGGAGGAACACCAAUUGCGAAGGCAGCUCACUGGGCCGCUAUCGACGCUGAGGAGCGAAAGCUAGGGGAGCAAACAGGAUUAGAUACCCUGGUAGUCCUAGCUGUAAACGAUGGAUACUAGACGUAGGAACUGGAUUGACGGUUUCUGUGUCGCAGCUAACGCGUUAAGUAUCCCGCCUGGGGAGUACGGUCGCAAGACUAAAACUCAAAGGAAUUGACGGGACCCCGCACAAGCGGCGGAGCAUGCGGCUUAAUUCGAUGAUACCCGUAGAACCUUACCUGGACUUGACAUAUAGGGUCUAGCUAUAGAGAUAUAGUGUGCAUUAGCGCCCUAUACAGGUGGUGCAUGGCUGUCGUCAGCUCGUGUCGUGAGAUGUUGGGUUAAGUCCCGCAACGA
rnacentral:rRNA from 1 species